rnacentral:ncRNA from 1 species
UUUUUAUACAGAGGCGUGGAGAGACAGGCUCGACGAAACGCCGGCAACCAACGAGGUUAACCCCUUGAAACGGUGCCAAGUCCUGACCAUAUAAAAA